rnacentral:rRNA from 1 species
UACGAAGGGGGCUAGCGUUGCUCGGAAUCACUGGGCGUAAAGGGUGCGUAGGCGGGUCUUUAAGUCAGGGGUGAAAUCCUGGAGCUCAACUCCAGAACUGCCUUUGAUACUGAAGAUCUUGAGUUCGGGAGAGGUGAGUGGAACUGCGAGUGUAGAGGUGAAAUUCGUAGAUAUCGGGAGGAACACCAGUGGCGAAGGCGGCGAUCUGGGAAGAUACUGACGCUGAGGUGCGAAAGCGUGGGGAGCAAACAGG